AGCCCCAGCCCUCCCACCCAACUGCAUCCCAGCAGCGAACGAAGACUGGUAGGGAAGACACACUAGAGGUACCAUAUCUCAGUGGAUAAAAACCGUACGGCUUCUAUGUUCUCUGUUAAAUCAUGUUUACAGUCAUCCAGAGUCCUGGCUCCAGUGAAAUGCCCCUUGUGAUCAAGAAGGUUAGCGUGAGGCAAGAUUCAAAUUUGCCAAUAAAGAUAUUUCAUCUUCCAGAAUUACCUGGUCUCGGUGUGUCUUUGGGGAAAAACAAGAGGAGAGACCACAUGGAAGCUCACCUCUUUCUUAUCCCAUUUACUUGAAGAAGGUGCUAACCUCAGAGUCUAGCAGAGAUUAAGCACUUUGCUAGCAAUAUUACAGACUGCAUUUAACUCCUAAAAAGCUCCUCAGUACCAAGUGGAAUACUUGAAAAAAUAUUUUGUCUUUGUCUGCUGCAUUUAAUUCCACUCUAGCGUCUGUACCUCUAGAGAAGAAGUCAUGCUAUGCUAGACAGAACAGCCGAGUGCUAACGCCUGUCAAAAGAAAUGCAAAAUAUGUGAAUCCUUGGCCUUUUUUGGGUAAUGUCUACAGCAAAUUGCCACGUUUCUAUGUUGUUUCCCCUCCUCAUGAGGCAGCAUCUCCACGUGCAGGGCGCGCUUACUGAGCGGCUCCGCAGCAGUCAGAGGUCAUCGGGACUCCCAGUAGCACGACAGAAAGAGAUGCUUCGGGCCAUUUUACCCCUCAACGAUCCACCAAAGGGAACCGAUGGACAAUACUUAGGAGGUGCAUUGUUUUUAUUUACAUUUGCAAAGACGAGGCUAUGGGAGCAGCCCAGACCGGCCCGGCCCGUGACGGCCCCUGCCGGGUGCAGGCUUUAUGUCAGGGUGAUAGAAGGCUUUAUAUAACCGUCCUUCGCCGCGUUUUGUUA